UGUCUCAGCAAGGAGACGACUGCUGUUCCUAUUUCUGCUCUGUGAGUGGCAAGAAGUGGCAUGGAGUGGUUCCCCGUGUUUGGGAGCAGCAGCCAGUAGGCUGCCAGAGAUCCAACUGCGCCUUGCAGCGCACAGAGGGAUGUGAUGGGGAUGGACCGUCCUUCCUGCCAUGCAAAAGUGAGUUUCUUCAGCCCUCUGUCAUGAAGUAUGGAAUAAUGAAUUUUGAAUAUUACUUCUGAGCGGGCACGGUGCUGUAGGGGAUGUCAAGUAACCAUACAUUUGGGAGAGCAGGAAGGAGCAGUGAAAAGUGAACUAUCAAUCAGUUUGCAUUUUGGCUGUAAAAAGUAGCAUCUUUCUGUUUUCUGGGGGGACAUGGGCUUACUGGAC
rnacentral:lncRNA from 1 species